rfam:Chryseobacterium indologenes strain CI_885 contig_15, whole genome shotgun sequence.
AAAACGGAAUCCGAAAAGUUUUAGAGUAGGAA